UACGUAGGGUGCGAGCGUUAAUCGGAAUUACUGGGCGUAAAGCGUGCGCAGGCGGUUCGUUGUGUCGGCGGUGAAAGCCCCGGGCUUAACCUGGGAAUGGCCGUUGAAACUGUCGAACUGGAGUGUGGCAGAGGGGGGUGGAAUUCCGCGUGUAGCAGUGAAAUGCGUAGAGAUGCGGAGGAACACCGAUGGCGAAGGCAGCCCCCUGGGCUAACACUGACGCUCAGGCACGAAAGCGUGGGGAGCAAACAGG
rnacentral:rRNA from 1 species